rnacentral:rRNA from 1 species
UACGUAGGGUGCAAGCGUUGUCCGGAAUUAUUGGGCGUAAAGAGCUCGUAGGCGGUCUGUCGCGUCUGGUGUGAAAAUCCAGGGCUUAACCCUGGACCUGCAUCGGGUACGGGCAGACUAGAGUGCGGUAGGGGAGAUCGGAAUUCCUGGUGUAGCGGUGAAAUGCGCAGAUAUCAGGAGGAACACCGGUGGCGAAGGCGGAUCUCUGGGCCGUAACUGACGCUGAGGAGCGAAAGCAUGGGGAGCGAACAGGA